GUUGUCUUUGGACCCGCAUGGCGCUGCAGUCGCGGGCGACGUCGUGCCUCUCUCUCUCUCGCUUCCCCGGCGUCUUCUUCUGCGCCUCUCUUUCCAGGGGAGAACCCGCUCUAAUUCCUCGACCACGUCCACCGACUCACGGACGUUGGCUCGUGCGGGUCGCGCCCCGCGACUCGAACCCCGCGCAUUUCUCUCCUUCUUUCCGUGUCUCUGGGCCUCUUUCAAGUAAACGUUCACGUUGAUAAUGAGUAGUGGGGAUGGGAGCGUCGCUGCUGCAGUGGCAGCCGUGGUGCACUUCACUACCCACGGCGACACCGCCUCGAACCAGGAGCUGAUGCACGCCAUCGAUCACUCCUUGGACGCUGGUUGUACACCGGCGGCCCACACGAUUGCCCCGCAGCUGCUGCGGUGGGCACUGGAGGACUCCACAGCCUGCGUGUCCGCUGGGAUUGCUACCUAUGUAGGCGUUCUAAACCGGCACUUCUGUGUGCAAGUGAUACCGCACCGCCUUGCACAACCCCUGGAUCGCCGCCCUACCGGCUUGGAGGAGCUACUGCAGCUCUACGUGAUGGCCCUUCACAGUUUUGCCAUUGAGGCCUCACGCCGGCAGCUCACGCAGUGUGUGGCCUGCCUGCUCAUCUUGAUCGAGGAUAGUUUGGUCGACCGACUGCGCGCUUGGGUUCGCGGCGGUGAUGCCGCAUCCGCAGAUGAGUGCCGCACGGCCCUGCAGGUCUUCAUCGCCGUCGUGGACCUCUUGGCAGAUCGCCGUGUUGCAAUCGGCUCUAUACGACGCGCCACACAGCGCCGUCAGCUACAGGAGCACCUGCUCAUUGCACUUGAGUCUCCACUGACGGACAGGGCAGACUUGCCGCUGCUGGUGCAUGCCACCGACGCUGCCGUGCGAUUUCUGCUGGAGGCGAUGUACGGUGAGCCGCAGGAGGUCGCGGCAACGUUUUGGGAGGCGCUGCCCGCGAGUACCGUAUGGCAGCACUGCCUGCGCUGCCUUGGUGCGGCUGCCGCCGCGUCGUCACCACCGGCGACGUGUCCGGAGGAGGUUUUAAACGUGGCGUGCAACGUGUUGCGCUGCCAGACGAUCGUCAACGCAGCCGCCGAGGCUCUCCUGUCGGGUGCGCUGCCGUUGGUGCUACAACCCAUCGCGCCCUCGUCCGCCGCCACUGUGGACUGGGAGACGAUCAGUCGUGUCAUUUCUGCCGCGGUUGAGGCAUCCACGAAGGCCAUUGUCACUCAGCAGCCAAGCGAUGCACCCCUAUUUCAACUCUUCUCCUCUGCGGCCGACCGACUGGCGCAGCUGCUGCAGGCGCCGGCGGCCCCGGCGACUGCGGUGUGCCACGUUUGUGAGGGUAUCAGCGCCUUGACGCAGGCACUGCAGCCUACGCCGCUUCCCGAGUUGGAGCCCGACGAUGACCCGGAUGACUUUGCGGACUUUGUCGAGCAGACGCACGCGGUGAACGCAGAGAAGUCAUCUGCCGUUGCUAAGCUAAGACCGUUUCUGCAUGAGUGCACGAGAGCGCUUGCAGCUCGCCUUACCCACAGCAAGUUUGCGCAGGAGGAGUGGAGGAAUAUCGCAGAGUACGUAGCGCGACAGGUCGCUGAGGGUGAUACCGAGGACUACGAAGUAGCCCACGAUGGCGUCCACAUCGCCGUCUUCACGACGUAUGAGCGUCUGACGGCUCUUCUCGGCGCGCUGGGCGUUGAGGAGAUCAACACGGCGGCCCCCGAGUUGGGCCAGCGACUCGUCCUGGUCAUGAGGGACUCGAGCUCAGCCCUCCACUGGCUGGAAUCCAUUCAGCCGGCCGAUCUGCUGGUUCAGUCCGCCUUGCUCCCGUGCUGCGUGGCGCGGCAUGUGUCCUCGACUUCUGCCACGGGGUGGGCGAUAGAGUCGGCUGCAGUGCGCGUGAUGGAUGUGCUGGUGCAUGCACUCGCCACGUACCAAGAGCAUGGCUUGCAUUGCAGCGGUGGCAGCGCGAGUGGUAGCGUUCCCGCUAUCAUGGAUGUGACAAGGGCGACUGCGGCGGUGGCGUUGGCCAUUGCGGGGCGUGUCGGGCCGGACAACGCGGCGCACCUGCGUGAGCGCAUCACUCCGCUGGUGUCAGCGCUGUGGCAGUGUGUGACUUCGGCCGUUGGCGCACCAGCGUCAGCGCUGACGCACCACGCCGCCGCGGAUGAACUCGCAACGCUGCUCGAGGCCAGGUUGGCUGUGCUGCCUGACGCUGCGGUCGACCUUCUUAAGGAUCAAGACGCGUACACGCAGGCGGUUCUCUUCGCUACUGGUGGUGCAUCCACCCCAAGCCUGAACACGCUCGAGGCGCUCGCACACACGCUGCACUGCAUCGCGCAGCUCUCUUCAGAGGAGGCCGAGGCGGCCGAGACACGGGUGUGCCGCGGUCUCGUGGAGCGCUUGCGGCGCCACUGCGAAGCGGGAGAGUGGGCAGGCGAGGCACUCGCGACGCUCUUGGACUCCUGGCAUGCUCAGCAUCCCCAACUGCUUCUGUGUUUCUUGACGUUAGCGGUUGCGGUGCCAGCCGAGCUGCAGCCUGCACUGUUGUUGGCCGGUAUUACUCGCUUCUUCUCUCUGCCGCAGAGCUGCGACACUUCGACGCGCGAGCUCUCCGCUGCCUUGGAGGCACGCUUCGUGCGCCCAAUCGCUGCGUCUCCCGCUACUGCGCCGUCUCUGCACGCUCUUGUGGUGUGGCUGUCGCAGCCUCACCCCUCUUUCACCGCCGCCGAUGGCGUACGACGCGUGCGCGCCUUAGCGGAAUGCGGGCGGGCGCUUUGCGAGGGCGGCCAUGUGCCGGUCCUCAGCUUGACCGAGACGCUCGUCACUUGCGUCGCUCGCUGGCAGGAACACAAGUUUGCCUCAGCGCUCGGCGGCGGGGAGGCGGAUGCGGUAGGUGAGAAGGACGACACGGAAGGCGACGUGCAACUGAAGCAGGAGGUCUUGAAGCAGCUGGCGAUGUGGAGCCGCUGCGUUAGUGCCAUGUCGGGGCUCCCGCCGAGUGCGCCGCCAUGGCUGGCACGGCUGCAGUCUGCACAAGACGACUACGAGCGGAUGGAGGUGCUGAAAAGUGUGUGAGAGCCUUGUGGAGAGAAUGGCCGGCGUGGGAUGGGGUGUAGCGCUGCGUGGCAACCUUGCGUUCGCCGCUCCUCCUUCAUCCCUCCUCGAGGCCCACCUCGGCAUGUGGCGCACACCCCGAUGGUCACGCGUGCGUGUGCGCAUGCGAGCGAACGUUCUUUUUUUCGGUGGGGGGGCUGACAAGGAUUCGCGAAAGGCCGCAAUCAUCGCAUGACAGAAGAACAGCGUGCUUGAUGUUUGUGCCUUUUCAGCCCAUCCAGCUCAAGCGCACAAGAUCCCUCGUGCCACAGCAGCCAACGAAGCCACUGCUCAGCCGAUGGCAAUACGGCUGCCAGCGAAUCAAGGCAGGAGACACCAGACACCUACCGAGAAGGAACGCACAGGGCAACAUAUGAGGUACGUGUGUGGAUGACGCUCUCCCAUCUCCGUUCCGCGAUUUCCCUCCAACCACUUGCCACAUACGCGAAG
rnacentral:misc_RNA from 1 species